GUCGGAGUGGCGGAAUUGGCAGACGCGCUAGACUAAGGAUCUAGUGACCUUCGGGUUGUGGGGGUUCAAGUCCCCCCUCCGACA
rnacentral:tRNA from 1 species